GCCUAAAGCGUCCGUAGCCGGCUCUGUAAGUUUUCGGUUAAAUCUGUAUGCUCAACAUACAGGCCGCCGGGAAUACUGCAGAGCUAGGGAGUGGGAGAGGUAGACGGUACUCGGGAGGAAGUGGUAAAAUGCUUUGAUCUCUCGAUGACCACCUGUGGCGAAGGCGGUCUACCAGAACACGUCCGACGGUGAGGGAUGAAAGCUGGGGGAGCAAACCGGAUUAGAUACCCGGGUAGUCCCAGCUGUAAACUAUGCAAACUCAGUGAUGCAUUGGCUUGUGGCCAAUGCAGUGUUGCAGGGAAGCCGUUAAGUUUGCCGCCUGGGAAGUACGUACGCAAGUAUGAAACUUAAAGGAAUUGGCGGGGGAGCACCACAAGGGGUGAAGCCUGCGGUUCAAUUGGAGUCAACGCCAGAAAUCUUACCCGGAGAGACAGCAGGAUGAAGGUCAAGUUGAAGCCUUUACCAGACAAGCUGAGAAGUGGUGCAUGGCCGUCGCCAGCUCGUGCCGUGAGAUGUCCUGUUAAGUCAGGUAACGAGCGAGAUCCCUGCCUCUAGUUGCCACCAUUACUCUCAGGAGUAGUGGGGCGAAUUAGCGGGACUGCCGCAGUUAAUGCGGAGGAAGGAGGGGGCCACGGCAGGUCAGUAUGCCCCGAA
rnacentral:rRNA from 1 species